CUCACUAAAUUUGGAGAGAAUAGUUGCCACUUAUCCAUGAAACGU
rnacentral:sRNA from 1 species